rnacentral:rRNA from 1 species
UGGGGAAUAUUGCACAAUGGGCGCAAGCCUGAUGCAGCCAUGCCGCGUGUGUGAAGAAGGCCUUCGGGUUGUAAAGCACUUUCAGCGAGGAGGAAGGUGGUGAGCUUAAUACGCUCAUCAAUUGACGUUACUCGCAGAAGAAGCACCGGCUAACUCCGUGCCAGCAGCCGCGGUAAUACGGAGGGUGCAAGCGUUAAUCGGAAUUACUGGGCGUAAAGCGCACGCAGGCGGUUUGUUAAGUCAGAUGUGAAAUCCCCGGGCUCAACCUGGGAACUGCAUUUGAAACUGGCAAGCUAGAGUCUCGUAGAGGGGGGUAGAAUUCCAGGUGUAGCGGUGAAAUGCGUAGAGAUCUGGAGGAAUACCGGUGGCGAAGGCGGCCCCCUGGACGAAGACUGACGCUCAGGUGCGAAAGCGUGGGGCAGCAAACAGGAUUAGAUACCCUGGUAGUCCACGCUGUAAACGAUGUCGAUUUUGGAGGUUGUGCCCUUGAGGCGUGGCUUCCGGAGCUAACGCGUUAAAUCGACCGCCUGGGGAGUACGGUCGCAAGAUUAAAACUUAAAGGAAUUGAC